CCUUGAACACUGAGCAGAAGGCUGGGGCUGAGGGAGGCAGAGUAGAGGAGAAGGCAGGCUGGAGGAGAGGCAGGGACAGGGAGAGCCGAGGCCGGGGUAGGAGCUCCGAGGCUGGGGGGUUAGAGGGAUGACGGGCCAGGGGAGGCUCGGGAGAAAAAGUGUGAAGGUGGGAGGGCGGGGUGGGCACGGGCACCGGGCUUAGGUGGGAGAAAGGUGAGGCUGAGGAGAGGCCGUGAUUAAGGUGCCAUAGCUGCAAAGGAAUAGUAGGCUAAAAGAGGGAUAAAGACGCAGGAUAAGGUUGGGAGAAAUGGAGGAGGAGGAGAAGGCCAGGUGGAGAAGAUAAAGUGAUAGGGAAGAAAAACUGAGACUAGGGUGCCAGUGGUUGAACUACACAGAAAUAUAUGAUUGUUCCCACACAGAAAUGGUUAGGAGACAGUUGUUAAGCUGAGGAAGAUGUCUAAAACCAAUUAAGGUACAGGAAUUAAAAGCGGGCUGGAGUUGGCAGGUAGCAAGACAACCAGAGACCAAAAUAUAGCCAGAAAACGAGACAGGAAAUUCCAACUUUAUGAGUGGGGAGUCUGCUUUCCUUUUCCUGCCAUGGAUGUAAUGCUGGUUUGGACAGCGGCUGACGUCCAAUCAGACAACAGGACCGUAGGCCUUGUCAUAAUGACAACCAUGACAUCACUGCAAGGGCUCGCGGAAAGAAGACAGCGGAGCUCCAGACAGACAGCGGGGCUCCACGGGGCUGCACGCCGGGCAAAGUGCGCCGGCUGCCGGAUCAAAACCGCGCGGACUACCGGGCAGGGGGUGUUGGUGGGGGGGAGGGAGCAUGUGGAGGGUGCCGCUUGGACGUUUCACGGCCGGCGUCGGGAGUUGUGUCCCGGACACGUUGAGGCUUCCUGACCGGGGAAAGCGAGUGGAAGAUAUGAAGGAGGUUGAGCGAAAUGGCAUCUUGUUUAAUUUCUGCCAAUCAAGACGAGAGGAAGACAACUCCCAAACUGGCAUGACGUAACAGGAGAGUGAAGACACGAUCAAGAGACCAGGACAAUGCAUGAGCCGGAUGGCAAAUGGGAACUGAGGAGCAGCGGCUGCUGUAAUCUCCACUGUUCAAUUAGCUGCACUGACCGGGACGCCACCUACACUUCAUUAACAGGGAGGGGAAGGUGAUGCUGAUAGUGUAACAUCAAGCCAGUUGGAGUACAAGAGAUGGGGAGUAAAUGAGAGCUUGCUGUCAGUACUGUGAGCCAUUUCCAGGUGAAGCAAACUGAAUUAAAGUGAAUCAACCUGAAGUGGAAUGACCUGAACUGAACUGAAACGAAAGCUUCAGUUGGACAGGACACACAUCGCUAUGAGGUUUUGGGGGGAAAUGUUGAGGCAGAGAAAUACCUUGAAGUAAUACGGAGGAAAACCGUCUGUUAUUUGUGCAUGUUGUUUUUUGGGGGGUUUCCUUGCUAUACUUCCUUUGCUUUGUUUUCAAUAUAUGGAUGUUUAUUUACCAUUACAUUAUGUUUUAUGACAUGAAUUAAGCCUACAUUCUCCAUGACCAUGACACUGUACAAUAAUCGCUUUCUCUUGUGUGCAUAUUGUCUUUGAUUGUCAUACCCACAGUGCAACAUGUGCAUUUGAAAUCUACAGUUAACUCCAUUUAGGGAGUUCAUUAUGGAAUGAAAAUCUCUUGUAACUUUUGUGUAUUAUGAUGGUUCUCACUAAAUUUCACACUUUGCUACAUCUGAACAUGCAAGUUUGUUCCUUAUAAGUUCUGAAAUUGUAUUUAUAUCACAAGCAUUUGAACAUUUAGCAACUAUGAUGGAUAUUUUUAUACUAACAAUGUAUCAAAUGACAAUGUAAAAAACUAUUUGACAGUAUGGAAGCUUGUUGUGAUCAACCUACAAGGAAUUAUAACCUGAAUCUGCAGCUUCCUUGCUACUGCGUUUCGGUUCACUCUCGCUGCUCUCAUAACAUUGUUUUUGAUAACAGCUGCAAAGAAGCUCUAAAAACCCACUGGACACUAUCUAAUCAACACCAAACGGUUAGUGAAUAUAGCUGGGGAACAGAGACGAGCAGCUAAAGAGCCUAUAUCAGGAGUUGGUAGAGACCAAAAACAGAGUUAAUAUUGGACUUGCAUCAACCAGGUGGCCAGAAAAACAACAUCAAAUUAAUGAUAAUGUUGCUCCUAAAAUGCUUGAUGUGUAAAUAAUUAAUUGUUUGCUAACAGUUUUGACAUAUCAUCAUCUUUAAGGUUGAUAUGGCGAUGGUGUGUUCACAGUUGUUUCCAUUCCCCCCAAGUGGCAAAACAAUAAAUCAGUUAUUGCAGGUUAAAAUAAAUAGUUACAGAUAUGUUAGCCUUUGUAACACAGUGGGUUUUCUCUUUCUCAGGCUAAAACAUGUCUCUGGGGCCUUCUGUCCAUAUUUGAGGACUAAUGUGUAUAUUUACUACAGCACUGGAUAGCAAAAAUAACGCACCUUGUCAGUUUGUAUACAUUUUAUUAAGAUGAAAUAAACUAAGGCCUUAUGGGA